UUUGAUCAACUUUGAACUCAUGAAUAUUCAUUAGAUAUGUCAUUUAACGUAAAUAACAUUUAUUAAUAGUAGUUGAUUAGUUUUUGGAUUUAAUUUCUUGUUGAAGAGAGUUAAAUCAAAUAUCAAACCCCUCAUUGUGCAAUAAUGAUCAUUAUUUACUUAUUUUCAAUGAAAACAUUAAUUGUCGUUUGGCUCCGAUCCGCUCCCUUCCGACGCUUGUAUCCAUCCGUGACGCGUCGACUAUUUUUAGCUGCUAGCAAAAUGGCAGGCAUGGAUGUAAACAUGUGCGCCGAGAUGUUGUGGAUUGAUACUAUCUGUGUGAAUGUCGAACUAUGCAGGAAAUAUGACUCCUAUACUACUUGUGUUGUGUAGAAGAGGUGAAGGUGUGGGGUACCCGUGUCAUGGUGUUUGAUUCCAUAUGCUGUAUGCUCCAGUGACUCAUUACAAUCAACUGCUUCAGCCCCUUAGUUGAAUUUAUCCAAAUGCAUUUAACAUGUUUUUGGUUUAUGCAUGAGACCAUCUGCAUCAAUUGGUGAAUUGGCUGGUUCUACCCCCCUAUGUUCCUGCCUAGCUGUUACCAAGCUUUUCCUAUGUGGAGACCAUCGACAUGAUUUUGUACAAGGAAAACAAUUAUGUGCAUUUAUAACCUCCAACAGAAAUAUCAACAUGAUUAUAUAUCUGUUAAUUAUAAAUAUACAAACCUAAUCUUAGUACAUGUAUAUGUUGAAUCUGAGCUUAGGAUUUUGCAAUUCUUGUGUGUUUUUUUUAAAUUAUUAACAAUUAUAUUUAAAACAUAAACAGUCAAAAUUAAUCUUAAUAUGCAAAUAUUAUUUAUUUAAAGCAUGAUUUAUUUGUUAACAGUUUCCUGACAAUGAGUUAUUUCUUCAAUAUUCCCUUGAAAAAUGAAUAAUAAAUGUUUGAAAAUCUAUAU